GAGUAGUGGGUUUGGAGCAGCUGAAGCUCCGAACACUGAGGAGGAGAACUUUGAGGACGAGGAUGAUGAGAGUCAAGAGGACUCCGAUGACAGCAUGGGCUGAUAGCAGACAUCUACUGAGGGAUGUCCAUAGACAGGAUUUAGUUUUUCUUUCUUUUAUUUUUUUUAUUUUUAUUUUUAUUUUAUUUUUUUGCAUUUUAAAUUCUUAGAAUAUGUUGAAUUUUUAUUUUGGUGUGUACUCUUGGGUUUAAUUCUUGUUCUGAAAAUGUUUGACAGACUGAUGUACAUGAAUGAGCUAUUUGAUGAUUAUUUGAUGUGGUUGAGAAUUGAGUUGCAAUGCAUGUUGAUAUUCUGUGAAAUAGAUGUGUGAUAAUUUAUGAUUGUGGUCAUGAUGCUAGGCAAGGUGCAUGAAUGAAUUUUGUGUGAGAAAGCAUGUGUGUGAGAUUUUGAGCUCCAGAGUUUUUAUUGAUGUAUGCAUUGUUCACAGGAAAACAUGAAUGAUAUUGCCUUAAUCUUGAUGAUGGAUUGAAUUGCAUGUGAAUGUCAUAUGAUCGAGGCCAUUUUUGAAAACCCUUCUCUAGCCCAAUUUUCACCCAAAGUGCUUGAAAUAUUAUUUCUUUUUUGAACCUUAGCCUCAAACAGUAUGUGAACCCUUGUUUUGAAAUUCUUUACCUUGAGUUGGGAUGAACUUAAUUGUAUGUGAUGAAAAGGUUCAAGUUUGGGGUUGUACGGGGGAAAAUUGAAAAAGCAAGUGAAAGGCAUUGAGCUCAAUUGUUAUGAAAAGAGAAAUAUUCAUGAGAAAAAGAAAAGAAAAGAAGAAAAGCAUGAAAAUGAGCUCAAUGAAAAAGAAAAGAAAAAGGAAGAAGUUGGGAAUGAGAGACAUUUGUGAGAGAGUUGUGCUUAAAUGUUGAAUAUUUUGUUAGCUCUCUUGACUCAAGGAUUUUGCAUUCUUGAAAAACCAAUUUUU
rnacentral:lncRNA from 1 species